AUCCAGAUGACGAGUCCCGAAUAGGACGAAUCACGCGUCGUGGAU
rnacentral:hammerhead_ribozyme from 1 species